rnacentral:rRNA from 1 species
CGUGGGGAGCAAACAGGAUUAGAUACCCCGGUAGUCCACGCCGUAAACGAUGGGUGCUAGGUGUUAGGGGGUUUCCCCCUUUAGUGCUGCAGCUAACGCAUUAAGCACUCCGCUGGGGAGUACGACCGCAAGGUUGAAACUCAAAGGAAUUGACGGGGGCCCGCACAAGCGGUGGAGCAUGUGGUUUAAUUCGAAGCAACGCGAAGAACCUUACCAGGUCUUGACAUCCUUUGACAACUCUAGAGAUAGAGCUUUCCCUUCGGGGACAAAGUGACAGGUGGUGCAUGGUUGUCGUCAGCUCGUGUCGUGAGAUGUUGGGUUAAGUCCCGCAACGAGCGCAACCCUUAUUGUUAGUUGCCAUCAUUCAGUUGGGCACUCUAGCGAAACUGCCGGUGACAAACCGGAGGAAGGUGGGGAUGACGUCAAAUCAUCAUGCCCCUUAUGACCUGGGCUACACACGUGCUACAAUGGACAGUACAAUGAGCAGCGACACGGCGACGUGAAGCGAAUCUCAUAAAGCUGUUCUCAGUUCGGAUUGUAGGCUGCAACUCGCCUACAUGAAGCCGGAAUCGCUAGUAAUCGCGGAUCAGCACGCCGCGGUGAAUACGUUCCCGGGCCUUGUACACACCGCCCGUCACACCACGAAAGUUUGUAACACCCAAAGUCGGUGAGGUAACCUUCGGGAGCCAGCCGCCUAAGGUGGGAUAGAUGAUUGGGGUGAAGUCGUAACAAGGUAACCA